rnacentral:rRNA from 1 species
GGGCCCGCACAAGCGGUGGAGCAUGUGGUUUAAUUCGAUGAUACGCGAGGAACCUUACCAGGGCUUAAAUGUAAGUUGCAUAAGCUAGAGUAUAAGCUUUUUCUUUCGGACUACUUACAAGGUGCUGCAUGGUUGUCGUCAGCUCGUGCCGUGAGGUGUCAGGUUAAGUCCUAUAACGAGCGCAACCCCUGUUGUUAGUUGCCAUCGAGUAAUUGUCGGGAACUCUAACAAGACUGCCGGUGCAAACCGUGAGGAAGGUGGGGAUGACGUCAAAUCAUCACGGCCCUUACGUCCUGGCUACACACGUGCUACAAUGGCCGGUACAGAGAGCAGCCACUACGCAGAGUAGGAG